UAAAGUGCGAUAACUGGUGUGAAUUGCAUUACUUUGUGAAUCAUCGAGUCUUUGAACGCAGCUUGUGACCCCCCGGGGUCGUGUCUGCUUGAGUGUGCGUCUUGUGCGUGACGGAUGCUUGCAGCCCCGUUUGAAACGAGCGUGACGCCUGUUGCUGAACGACGCGCUUGUGCCGGACGGCGUUGCCGAAUGACGCUUACUGCUGAAUGACGCUGCUGCCGAACGCCACCUGUGCCGAACAAAUGCGGCGUCGCUCCCUCUUCUUCGCACCUCAAGCCAGGCAAGAGCACCCGCUGAACUUAA
rnacentral:misc_RNA from 1 species